AGCGUACACGGUGGAUGCCCUGGCAGUCAGAGGCGAUGAAGGACGUGCUAAUCUGCGAUAAGCGUCGGUAAGGUGAUAUGAACCGUUAUAACCGGCGAUUUCCGAAUGGGGAAACCCAGUGUGAUUCGUCACACUAUCAUUAACUGAAUCCAUAGGUUAAUGAGGCGAACCGGGGGAACUGAAACAUCUAAGUACCCCGAGGAAAAGAAAUCAACCGAGAUUCCCCCAGUAGCGGCGAGCGAACGGGGAGCAGCCCAGAGCCUGAAUCAGUGUGUGUGUUAGUGGAAGCGUCUGGAAAGGCGCGCGAUACAGGGUGACAGCCCCGUACACAAAAAUGCACAUACUGUGAGCUCGAUGAGUAGGGCGGGACACGUGGUAUCCUGUCUGAAUAUGGGGGGACCAUCCUCCAAGGCUAAAUACUCCUGACUGACCGAUAGUGAACCAGUACCGUGAGGGAAAGGCGAAAAGAACCCCGGCGAGGGGAGUGAAAAAGAACCUGAAACCGUGUACGUACAAGCAGUGGGAGCACAGAGCAAUCUGUGUGACUGCGUACCUUUUGUAUAAUGGGUCAGCGACUUAUAUUCUGUAGCAAGGUUAACCGAAUAGGGGAGCCGAAGGGAAACCGAGUCUUAACUGGGCGUUAAGUUGCAGGGUAUAGACCCGAAACCCGGUGAUCUAGCCAUGGGCAGGUUGAAGGUUGGGUAACACUAACUGGAGGACCGAACCGACUAAUGUUGAAAAAUUAGCGGAUGACUUGUGGCUGGGGGUGAAAGGCCAAUCAAACCGGGAGAUAGCUGGUUCUCCCCGAAAGCUAUUUAGGUAGCGCCUCGUGAAUUCAUCUCCGGGGGUAGAGCACUGUUUCGGCAAGGGGGUCAUCCCGACUUACCAACCCGAUGCAAACUGCGAAUACCGGAGAAUGUUAUCACGGGAGACACACGGCGGGUGCUAACGUCCGUCGUGAAGAGGGAAACAACCCAGACCGCCAGCUAAGGUCCCAAAGUCAUGGUUAAGUGGGAAACGAUGUGGGAAGGCCCAGACAGCCAGGAUGUUGGCUUAGAAGCAGCCAUCAUUUAAAGAAAGCGUAAUAGCUCACUGGUCGAGUCGGCCUGCGCGGAAGAUGUAACGGGGCUAAACCAUGCACCGAAGCUGCGGCAGCGACGCUGAUGCGUUGUUGGGUAGGGGAGCGUUCUGUAAGCCUGUGAAGGUGUGCUGUGAGGCAUGCUGGAGGUAUCAGAAGUGCGAAUGCUGACAUAAGUAACGAUAAAGCGGGUGAAAAGCCCGCUCGCCGGAAGACCAAGGGUUCCUGUCCAACGUUAAUCGGGGCAGGGUGAGUCGACCCCUAAGGCGAGGCCGAAAGGCGUAGUCGAUGGGAAACAGGUUAAUAUUCCUGUACUUGGUGUUACUGCGAAGGGGGGACGGAGAAGGCUAUGUUGGCCGGGCGACGGUUGUCCCGGUUUAAGCGUGUAGGCUGGUUUUCCAGGCAAAUCCGGAAAAUCAAGGCUGAGGCGUGAUGACGAGGCACUACGGUGCUGAAGCAACAAAUGCCCUGCUUCCAGGAAAAGCCUCUAAGCAUCAGGUAACAUCAAAUCGUACCCCAAACCGACACAGGUGGUCAGGUAGAGAAUACCAAGGCGCUUGAGAGAACUCGGGUGAAGGAACUAGGCAAAAUGGUGCCGUAACUUCGGGAGAAGGCACGCUGAUAUGUAGGUGAAGUCCCUCGCGGAUGGAGCUGAAAUCAGUCGAAGAUACCAGCUGGCUGCAACUGUUUAUUAAAAACACAGCACUGUGCAAACACGAAAGUGGACGUAUACGGUGUGACGCCUGCCCGGUGCCGGAAGGUUAAUUGAUGGGGUCAGCGCAAGCGAAGCUCUUGAUCGAAGCCCCGGUAAACGGCGGCCGUAACUAUAACGGUCCUAAGGUAGCGAAAUUCCUUGUCGGGUAAGUUCCGACCUGCACGAAUGGCGUAAUGAUGGCCAGGCUGUCUCCACCCGAGACUCAGUGAAAUUGAACUCGCUGUGAAGAUGCAGUGUACCCGCGGCAAGACGGAAAGACCCCGUGAACCUUUACUAUAGCUUGACACUGAACAUUGAGCCUUGAUGUGUAGGAUAGGUGGGAGGCUUUGAAGUGUGGACGCCAGUCUGCAUGGAGCCGGCCUUGAAAUACCACCCUUUAAUGUUUGAUGUUCUAACGUUGACCCGUUAUCCGGGUUGCGGACAGUGUCUGGUGGGUAGUUUGACUGGGGCGGUCUCCUCCUAAAGAGUAACGGAGGAGCACGAAGGUUGGCUAAUCCUGGUCGGACAUCAGGAGGUUAGUGCAAUGGCAUAAGCCAGCUUGACUGCGAGCGUGACGGCGCGAGCAGGUGCGAAAGCAGGUCAUAGUGAUCCGGUGGUUCUGAAUGGAAGGGCCAUCGCUCAACGGAUAAAAGGUACUCCGGGGAUAACAGGCUGAUACCGCCCAAGAGUUCAUAUCGACGGCGGUGUUUGGCACCUCGAUGUCGGCUCAUCACAUCCUGGGGCUGAAGUAGGUCCCAAGGGUAUGGCUGUUCGCCAUUUAAAGUGGUACGCGAGCUGGGUUUAGAACGUCGUGAGACAGUUCGGUCCCUAUCUGCCGUGGGCGCUGGAGAACUGAGGGGGGCUGCUCCUAGUACGAGAGGACCGGAGUGGACGCAUCACUGGUGUUCGGGUUGUCAUGCCAAUGGCACUGCCCGGUAGCUAAAUGCGGAAGAGAUAAGUGCUGAAAGCAUCUAAGCACGAAACUUGCCCCGAGAUGAGUUCUCCCUGACUCCUUGA
rnacentral:rRNA from 1 species